rnacentral:rRNA from 1 species
CAGUAGCCGCGGUAAUACGAAGGGGGCUAGCGUUGCUCGGAAUUACUGGGCGUACAGGGCGCGUAGGCGGACAGUUCAGUCGGGGGUGAAAGCCCGGGGCUCAACCUCGGAAUUGCCUUCGAUACUGGCUGUCUUGAGUAUGAGAGAGGUGUGUGGAACUCCGAGUGUAGAGGUGAAAUUCGUAGAUAUUCGGAAGAACACCAGUGGCGAAGGCGACACACUGGCUCAUUACUGACGCUGAGGCGCGAAAGCGUGGGGAGCAAACAGGAUUAGAUACCCCGGUAGUCCCUGUCUCUUAUAC